GACAGAGGUGCCGAGCGUUAGGCGGAAUCACUGGGCUUAAAGCGUGUGUAGGCGGACGCCUAAGUACCUUGUGAAAUCCCGCGGCUCAACCGGGGAAUGGCUGGAUAUACUGGCGGUCUUGAGCGAUCUAGGGGCAGAUGGAACAAGUGGUGGAGCGGUGAAAUGCGUAGAUAUCACUUGGAACGCCAAAGGUGAAAACAGUCUGCUGGGGAUCUGCUGACGCUGAGACACGAAAGCCAGGGGAGCGAACGGG
rnacentral:rRNA from 1 species